rnacentral:rRNA from 1 species
CGUCUCGUGACUGCGGAGGAUCAUUAAUGAGUUUUUGAUGUGGGCUUGUUGCUGGUGUCUUAACGGAUGCAUGUGCACGGCCCCGCUCUCAAAUCCAUUCAACACCUGUGCACUUUCAAAGCUGUAGUCCUCCGUAAUGGGAGCCGCAAGUUGAUUCAUUUUAGCUUGCUAGGGCUGCGCUUUGCCAUUUUAUUACAAACUAUAUGCAUUGUCUUGUAGAAUGUUAAGCCUUUCAAUAGGUGAAAUUAAAUACAACUUUCAACAACGGAUCUCUUGGCUCUCGCAUCGAUGAAGAACGCAGCGAAAUGCGAUAAGUAAUGUGAAUUGCAGAAUCCAGUGAAUCAUCGAAUCUUUGAACGCAACUUGCGCUCCUUGGUAUUCCGAGGAGCAUGCCUGUUUGAGUGUCGUGAAAUUAUCAACUCCCUUUCUUUAUUGAGAGGUGGGAUUGGACUUGGGGAUUGCUGGUGCAAACUGGCUUCCUUUGAAUGCAUUAGCUAGAGCUUGAUUCAUAGCAUAUAUGCGGUGUGAUAAUGUCGUCACUGUGUAGCUUGAGUCUUCUGGCUUCUAACCGUCCUUCAUUGGACAAUUUGAUUAUUUUGACCUCAAAUCAGGUAGGACUACCCGCUGAACUUAAGCAUAUCAAAAACCGGGAAGAAAA